rnacentral:siRNA from 1 species
UGUGCACCACCACCAGAGCCUC